CCUAUUUAGUUAAUGAGCUUGAUUUAAGCAAUUGUUUUGAAAACAUUUGAUAGAAAUUAAAAUUUUCUAUUAACUUUACUAAUUUUAAUUA
rnacentral:tRNA from 1 species